rnacentral:rRNA from 1 species
AUUGAACGCUGGCGGCAUGCCUUACACAUGCAAGUCGAACGGUAUCAGGUCUUCGGAUGCUGACGAGUGGCGAACGGGUGAGUAAUACAUCGGAACGUGCCUAGUAGUGGGGGAUAACUACUCGAAAGAGUGGCUAAUACCGCAUGAGAUCUACGGAUGAAAGCAGGGGAUCGCAAGACCUUGUGCUACUAGAGCGGCCGAUGGCAGAUUAGGUAGUUGGUGGGAUAAAAGCUUACCAAGCCGACGAUCUGUAGCUGGUCUGAGAGGACGAUCAGCCACACUGGGACUGGGACACGGCCCAGACUCCUACGGGAGGCAGCAGUGGGGAAUUUUGGACAAUGGGCGCAAGCCUGAUCCAGUAAUGCCGCGUGCAGGAUGAAGGCCUUCGGGUUGUAAACUGCUUUUGUACGGAACGAAAAGCCCUGGGUUAAUACCCUGGGGUCAUGACGGUACCGUAAGAAUAAGCACCGGCUAACUACGUGCCAGCCGCCGCAGUAAUAC